rnacentral:rRNA from 1 species
UACGGAGGGUGGAAGCGUUAAUCGGAAUUACUGGGCGUAAAGCGUGCGCAGGCGGCUUUGCAAGACAGAUGUGAAAUCCCCGGGCUCAACCUGGGAACUGCAUUUGUGACUGCAUCGCUGGAGUGCGGCAGAGGGGGAUGGAAUUCCGCGUGUAGCAGUGAAAUGCGUAGAUAUGCGGAGGAACACCGAUGGCGAAGGCAAUCCCCUGGGCCUGCACUGACGCUCAGGCACGAAAGCGUGGGGAGCAAACAGG